GGACUGUGGCCCGCAGGCCUCGCCCCUGGGAUGGCGUCCGGCCCCGGGGCCUGCGAGGCGAGGCCGGGCUGGCGGGAAUGCGCGGCGCCCCAGGCCCCGCAACGACCGCUACUUCACGGCUUUGCUUGAAGGCUUCCAGCAGAAGGCGUGGCCCAGAGUACAGGUGUGCCUUCUCACCUCAGGAUCCGGUUCAAAGGCAUGCUGUCUUCCUGCCUCCAGAUCUGGAUCACAGGCGUGUCCUCCAUGUCUGGAUUGUAGUGCAUUCCAGGUGUAUUCAGGUUGACAACCAAGAGUAGUCACCACAGCACCCAUACAUGUAAAAUAAAAGCGAAUCAUCAUCA